CCUACGGGGGGCAGCAGUGGGGAAUAUUGGACAAUGGGCGAAAGCCUGAUCCAGCCAUGCCGCGUGUGUGAAGAAGGCCUUCGGGUUGUAAAGCACUUUCAGUGGGGAAGAAAGCCUUGGGGCUAAUACCCUCGAGGAAGGACAUCACCCACAGAAGAAGCACCGGCUAACUCCGUGCCAGCAGCCGCGGUAAUACGGAGGGUGCGAGCGUUAAUCGGAAUUACUGGGCGUAAAGCGCGCGUAGGCGGUCUGAUAAGCCGGUUGUGAAAGCCCCGGGCUCAACCUGGGAACGGCAUCCGGAACUGUCAGGCUAGAGUGCAGGAGAGGAAGGUAGAAUUCCCGGUGUAGCGGUGAAAUGCGUAGAGAUCGGGAGGAAUACCAGUGGCGAAGGCGGCCUUCUGGACUGACACUGACGCUGAGGUGCGAAAGCGUGGGUAGCAAACAGGAUUAGAUCCCCGAGUAGUC
rnacentral:rRNA from 1 species